GAUCCUGGCUCAGGAUGAACGCUGGCGGCGUGCUUAACACAUGCAAGUCGAGCGAAGCGAAUCUUCGGAAGUUUUCGGAUGGAAGAGGAUUUGACUUAGCGGCGGACGGGUGAGUAACGCGUGGGUAACCUGCCUUACACUGGGGGAUAACAGUUAGAAAUGACUGCUAAUACCGCAUAAGCGCACAGGGCCGCAUGGCCUGGUGUGAAAAACUCCGGUGGUGUAAGAUGGACCCGCGU
rnacentral:rRNA from 1 species